rnacentral:rRNA from 1 species
CCAAUAGCGUAUAUUAAAGUUGUUGCAGUUAAAAAGCUCGUAGUUGAAUUUUGGAAUCAAUAGGUUGGUCACGCCAUUCGGUGUGUACUGGCUUAAUUGGUUCUCACCUUCUAAGGAACUGUGAUGUCAUUAAUUUGGUGUCGCGGGAAAUUAGGACUGUUACCUUGAAAAAAUUAGAGUGUUUAAAGCAAGCUAACGCUUGAAUACAUUAGCAUGGAAUAAUGAAAUAGGACAUCGUAUUCUAUUUUGUUGGUUUCUAGGAUCGAUGUAAUGAUUAAUAGGGAUAGUUGGGGGCAUUAGUAUUCAAUUGUCAGAGGUGAAAUUCUUGGAUUUAUUGAAGACUAACUACUGCGAAAGCAUUUGCCAAGGAUGUUUUCAUUAAUCAAGAACGAAAGUUAGGGGAUCGAAGACGAUCAGAUACCGUCGUAGUCUUAACCAUAAACUAUGCCGACUAGGGAUCGGAUGAUGUUAAUUUUAUAGUGACUCAUUCGGCACCUUACG